AGAGUUUGAUCAUGGCUCAGAUUGAACGCUGGCGGCAUGCUUAAUACAUGCAAGUCGAACGGUAACAGAUUCUUCGGAAUGCUGACGAGUGGCGGACGGGUGAGUAAUACAUAGGAAUCUGCCCAUGUAGUGGGGGACAACUUGGGGAAACUCAAGCUAAUACCGCAUAAUUCCUACGGGAUAAAGAGGGCCACUGCUUGCAAGCUCUUGCUACUGGAUGAGCCUAUGUCGGAUUAGUUAGUUGGUAAGGUAAUGGCUUACCAAGACAGCGAUCCGUAGCUGGUUUGAGAGGAUGAUCAGCCACACUGGGACUGAGACACGGCCCAGACUCCUACGGGAGUCAGCAGUAGGGAGUAUUGGACAAUGGGCGCAAGCCUGAUCCAGCAAUGCCGCGUGUGUGAAGAAGGCCUGCGGGUUGUAAAGCACUUUCAAUUGGGAAGAAAGAUUAUGAGUUAAUACCUUAUAAUAUUGACG
rnacentral:rRNA from 1 species